rnacentral:rRNA from 1 species
UAGGGAAUUUUCCACAAUGGACGAAAGUCUGAUGGAGCAACACCGCGUGCAGGAUGAAGUAUUUCGGUAUGUAAACUUCGAAAGAAUAGGAAGAAUAAAUGACGGUACUAUUUAUAAGGUCCGGCUAACUACGUGCCAGCAGCCGCGGUAAUACGUAGGUGGCAAGCGUUGUCCGGAUUUAUUGGGUUUAAAGGGUGCGUAGGUGGCCCUGUAAGUCAGUGGUGAAAUAUCUCAGCUUAACUGAGAGGGUGCCAUUGAUACUGCAGGGCUUGAGUACAGAUGAGGUAGGCGGAAUUGACGGUGUAGCGGUGAAAUGCAUAGAUAUCGUCAAGAACACCGAUAGCGAAGGCAGCUUACCAAGCUGUAACUGACACUGAGGCACGAAAGUGUGGGGAUCAAACAGGAUUAGAUACCCAAGUAGUCCCUGAGCGGGCUGGCAAGGCGCAU